GGGCAUGAUCAUUUUUUUUGGUGUUUAAGGCCAAACUGAUGCGGCCAAAGCCCUCACGACCCACAUUAAAUUCCUGCGCUGGCGUACUCUCAAUAGGCCACUUUAAGGACUUUGACAGAGCUAAGCUAGCUGUUAGCCCUGUCUUUAUGCUAGGCUAAGCUAACCGGCUGCAGCCUCAUAUUGGCAUCAAUCUUCUCCUCCAACUUGCCUCUGCAACAAAACAAUUUACCAAAAUGUAGAACUAAUCCUUUAAACAUGUAGAUAAUAAGGUGGGGAUUUAAUUCAGCGUUGGGCGUUUUUGAGAAGCGAGUCGUCGUAGUUCCUCACCCAGACACGGGUCACCGGCUGAGGGGGAAGCGGGGGACUUGUGGGCGUGCCUUUGAUCGGUGAAGAGCUCAUCUGCUGUAGCUGUCUGUGUGUUUGUAGGCUGCUUCUUACCGUGUUUGACACUAAAAAAAAACUCAGUCAGGGCAUUCAUUUUGGGCCAAGCCAUCUGUGAGCAGAAUUAAAACCAGGAUGUUCAGGCUCAGCAGCAGUUCCAGUUUUUAAACUUAUAACGAAAAAAAUACACAUGACCAAAAUGUGAAUUCUACUCCUCUGAUGCAUUUUAAAAACAUUAAGACGUUGUUGAAAUUUACUCUGCUGUGUUUACAAUUUCAGCCAUUUGGUAAGCAGUUUUAAAUUUGAGCAGGUGGUGACCUCAUCCAACCUUCGGCCCGGAUUCGCCUAAACGAAUGCUCCUAUUUGUAAUGCACGAAUGUUGCACACCUGUGUUUUAUGUUCUGGACAACACCUCGAAGUUCCAGUUUAUUUAUUAAAAAGUGCACACACUUA